CCUGUAUCGAGCGGCUGAGUUCCAGCUGCCGCUGCUCAGGUCUGGUUGUACCAACGCCUGCUCUUUUCUGGCUUGGACUACGUUUCACUGAGCCCAUGGGGGAGCUAAAGAACUUCCACCUCUGGUUCAUUUUCUGCUAGCCUUGUGGUCGCAUUCUGUGCGGAAAGGAGACAGCCCUAAAUGAUGUAGAGAGUGGUUUAACUAAACGGGCUCCAAGAAGAGGAAAGCCAUUGCAGGUAAAAGUUUAACUGCUGUGAAGAGUGAGAAGUAUGAGAAGCUUUCUUCUCAGAGGCCAGGCGAAAGAACUGAGAUCCCUUUGGCCUGAGUUCCCAAAGAGUUGUCACCAAUUGUGAACAGAAUCAUCUGAAAAUGGAGUCAACUAUGUCGAGGGGCCCUAAAAUGGGAGUCAGGAUGCCAUUAGCAAAGUCAGGUUCAAGCACAUCUACACCCAGAUGAGGUUUGAAGUUUUGGACUUCUAUGCUUGCGAAGAAGCACAUCUUGGAACUUGCCUCCCUGUCAUGCGGAUGCUUAUCUGAGUCCCACCACUGAGACCUGACUAAACCUUCCUGAGCUAGUCAUCAUACCAGGUUAGACAGCCAAGGAAAAACUGGUUUUUGCCUUGCUAAGCUUGGGCUUCCUUUGUCUUCCCAGAGCACAUAUCAGGUCUUCUACUGAAUCUGUCUCCAUGUUUCGAAUCCUUUAAGUCCCCAAAUAAACUUCUGAUUUGUUUUACA